AAAAUUAAUUGAUUUUGUUGAUUAGUAUUCUGUAGAAUUUUGUUAUUAAGGUUAUAGUUAAUGAGUACAGUGAUGGAAGUUUUAUUGAAUUAGGUUAAAGUAGCGUUGAGUUUUCGUACCUUUUGUAUCAGGGGUGAACUAAAUUGGUAUAUUAGUUAUGGAGUCCCGAAACAAAGAGAGCUAGGUUUUGUUGCUUUUUUACGUGGUAAAGUGAUUUGUAAUGGGUCUCUAGUGGUGAUAUGUUAGUCGAUUUUUGUAUAUCUGGUUUUCCGUUAAAUGAAUUUAAUUUUGUGUCAAGUUAAAGUUUAAUUUGAUAGUUACGAUAGGAGGAAUGAGCUUCUUAUCUGUUGUUUUGUUAAGCGUCUUAUUAGUUUUCAUUUGAGGUGGGGCUUAAAAUCAGCCAUCUUGGUAUAACGUUAGAGAUAAUAUUGAGGUUUUUUUAUUUUUUAUAAGGUGUUUGCUUUUAUUAGCGGGGAAAUGCCGUUUAUUGAUUAAGCGGCAGUUACAAAUGUUUAUACUAAGUACGAAUUGAAGUUAAUUUUUAUUUUUUAAGAGUGUUAUUUGUUUAUUUAAGUAGUUUUGAGAAGCGCUUACGAAGGAACUCGGCAAAUUUUGGUCCCCGCCUGUUUAUCAAAAACAUGUCUGUGUGAAUUAGUUAUAAAGUCUAGCCUGCCCACUGAUUUAUUUAAAGGGCCGCGGUAAUUUGACCGUGCGAAGGUAGCAUAGUCAGUAGUCUUUUAAUUGGAGGCUUGAAUGAAUGGUUGGACGAGGGAUAAACUG
rnacentral:rRNA from 1 species